rnacentral:rRNA from 1 species
GAUGAACGCUGGCGGCGUGCUUAACACAUGCAAGUCGAGCGAAGCACUCUGUCUGAAUUUCUCGAAAGGAUGACAGUUUGACUUAGCGGCGGACGGGUGAGUAACGCGUGGGUAACCUGCCUCAUACAGGGGGAUAACAGUUAGAAAUGACUGCUAAUACCGCAUAACCCGCUAGGGUCACAUGACCCGGACGGAAAAGAUUUUAUCGGUAUGAGAUGGACCCGCGUCUGAUUAGCUGGUUGGUGGGGUAACGGCCUACCAAGGCGACGAUCAGUAGCCGACCUGAGAGGGUGAUCGGCCACAUUGGGACUGAGACACGGCCCAA